rnacentral:ncRNA from 1 species
AUCUUCAGGGCGGAGUGUAAUUCUCCACCGGCAGUUAUAGUCUGCGAGCGCAAGCCGAAUCGGUGAAAUUCCGAUACCGACAGUUAAAGUCUGGAUGGAAGAAG